AGGACUAUACUUUCAGGGAUCAUUUCUGUAGUUGGUAACUAGAGGAGUGUGAUCGAAAGUGUCCGGCGUCACAAGCCACGAGGAGGAGCAGCGUGUUCUCUCCUGAGCGCGAAGCGGGCGGGCGGUGCUGCUUGUGCGGGAGCCGCUCGUCAUUGAUGACCGUUCCCGUGCCACGAGUUGGCACUGGGAGGGAGAGAACACAGGCUGAGUGGG
rnacentral:snoRNA from 1 species